rnacentral:rRNA from 1 species
UACAGAGGGUGCGAGCGUUAAUCGGAAUUACUGGGCGUAAAGCGCACGUAGGCGGCUUGGUAUGUCGGGUGUGAAAUCCCCGGGCUCAACCUGGGAACUGCAUCCGAAACUGCCUUGCUCGAGUAUGGGAGAGGGAAGUGGAAUUUCCGGUGUAGCGGUGAAAUGCGUAGAUAUCGAGAGGAAUACCAACGGCGAAGGCAGCACUCUGGGCAGUUUCUGACACUGAGGCACGAAGGCUAGGGGGAGCAAACGGG